UAGUUCGAUUAUGGCUCAGGAUGAACGCUGGCGGCAUGCCUAAUACAUGCAAGUCGAACGGAGUGAAGCCUUCGGGUUUCAUUCAGCGGCGAACGGGUGAGUAAUACGCAGGGAACCUGGCCAUGGCAGGGGGAUACACUCUGGAAACGGAGCAUAAGACCCCAUAGGCAGUAAGGCGGCAUCGCCUUACUGUUAAAGAAAGCUGAAAGGCUUUGGCGAUGGAUGGACCUGCGGUGCAUUAGCUUGUUGGUGAGGCAACGGCUUACCAAGGCGAUGAUGCAUAGCCGGCCUGAGAGGGCGGACGGCCACACUGGGACUGAGACACGGCCCGGACUCCUGCGGGAGGCAGCAGUAGGGAAUUUUCGUCAAUGGGCGCAAGCCUGAACGAGCAAUGCCGCGUGAGUGAGGAAGGUCUUCGGACUGUAAAGCUCUGUUGCCGGGGAAAAAGGGGAAAUGCAGGAAAUGGCAUUUCAUGGAUGGUACCCGGCCAGAAAGCCACGGCUAACUACGUGCCAGCAGCCGCGGUAAUACGUAGGUGGCGAGCGUUAUCCGGAAUGAUUGGGCGUAAAGGGUGCGCAGGCGGUCUGUUAAGUCUGAAGGCAAAGGGAUGAGCUCAACUCAUUUAUGAUUCAGAAACUGGCAGACUUGAGGACAGGAGAGGGCGGUGGAACUCCAUGUGUAGCGGUAAAAUGCGCAGAGAUAUGGAAGAACACCAGUGGCGAAGGCGGCCGCCUGGCCUGUGACUGACGCUGAGGCACGAAAGCGUGGGGAGCAAAUAGGAUUAGAUACCCUAGUAGUCCACGCCGUAAACGAUGAGGAGCAGGUGUUGGGAGUGAAAUCUCAGUGCCGAAGCCAACGCAGUGACUCCUCCGCCUGGGGAGUAUGCACGCAAGUGUGAAACUCAAAGGAAUUGACGGGGGCCCGCACAAGCGGUGGAGUAUGUGGUUUAAUUCGAAGCAACGCGAAGAACCUUACCAGGUUUUGACAUCGGAUGCGAAGGCGCAGAGAUGCGCUGGAGGCUAUCAUCCAGACAGGUGGUGCAUGGUAGUCGUCAGCUCGUGUCGUGAGAUGUUCAGUUAAGUCUGGCAACGAGCGCAACCCCCGUGGUAUGUUACUAACGCAUUUGGGCGAGGACUCAUAUCAGACUGCCGGUGACAAACCGGAGGAAGGCGGGGAUGACGUCAAAUCAUCAUGCCCCUUAUGACCUGGGCUACACACGUACUACAAUGGCGUCUACAGAGGGAAGCGACCCUGAGAAGGGAAGCGAAACCGGAAAAGGGCGUCCCAGUUCGGAUUGAAGUCUGCAACCCGACUUCAUGAAGAUGGAAUCGCUAGUAAUCGCGGAUCAGCAUGCCGCGGUGAAUACGUUCCCGGGCCUUGUACACACCGCCCGUCAAACCAUGGAAGCCGGCAACGCCCGAAGCCGGUGGCAUAACCUUUUAGGAGUGAGCCGUCGAAGGCGGGGCCGAUGACUGGGGUUAAGUCGUAACAAGGUACCC
rnacentral:rRNA from 1 species